AUUGAACGCUGGCGGCAGGCCUAACACAUGCAAGUCGAGCGGAGCGGCGGACGGGUGAGUAAUGCCUAGGAAUCUGCAUGGUAGUGGGGGAUAACGUCCGGAAACGGGCGAUAAUACCGCAUACUAUCAGAUGAGCCUAGGUCGGAUGAGCUAGUUGGGGGGGUAAAGGCCUACCAAGGCGACGAUCCGUAAAGGGGCUGAGAGGAUGAUCCGUCACACGGCAACUGAGACACGGUCCAGACUCCUACGGGAGGCAGCAGGGGGGAAGAUUGGACAAUGGGCGAAAGCCUGAUCGAGCCAGGCCGCGUGAGUGAAGAAGGUCUUCGGAUUGUAAAGCACUGUUAGUUGGGAGGCGUUACCAACAGAAUAAGCCCCGGCUAACUUCGUGCCAGCAGCCGCGGUAAUAC
rnacentral:rRNA from 1 species